GGUCCCCCACAUUGGAACUGAGACACGGUCCAAACUCCUACGGGAGGCAGCAGUGAGGAAUAUUGGUCAAUGGGCGAGAGCCUGAACCAGCCAAGUAGCGUGCAGGAUGACGGCCCUAUGGGUUGUAAACUGCUUUUAUAAGGGAAUAAAGUGAGCCUCGUGAGGCUUUUUGCAUGUACCUUAUGAAUAAGGACCGGCUAAUUCCGUGCCAGCAGCCGCGGUAAUACGGAAGGUCCGGGCGUUAUCCGGAUUUAUUGGGUUUAAAGGGAGCGUAGGCCGGAGAUUAAGCGUGUUGUGAAAUGUAGACGCUCAACGUCUGCACUGCAGCGCGAACUGGUUUCCUUGAGUACGCACAAAGUGGGCGGAAUUCGUGGUGUAGCGGUGAAAUGCUUAGAUAUCACGAAGAACUCCGAUUGCGAAGGCAGCUCACUGGAGCGCAACUGACGCUGAAGCUCGAAAGUGCGGGUAUCGAACAGGAUUAGAUACCCUGGUAGUCCGCACGGUAAACGAUGGAUGCCCGCUGUUGGUCUGAAUAGGUCAGCGGCCAAGCGAAAGCAUUAAGCAUCCCACCUGGGGAGUAC
rnacentral:rRNA from 1 species